UACGUAGGAGACGAGCGUUGUCCGGAGUUACUGGGCGUAAAGGGUGCGCAGGUGGCGGCGCGCGUGGGGGGUGAAAUCGCCCGGCUUAACUGGGCGGGGGCCUUCCAGACGGCGUGGCUUGAGCAGCGGAGGGGGACGUGGAAUUCCGGGUGGAGCGGUGAAAUGCGUAGAGAUCCGGAGGAACACCGACGGCGAAGGUAGCGUCCUGGCCGCUUGCUGACACUGAGGCACGAAAGCUGGGGGAGCAAACAGG
rnacentral:rRNA from 1 species